rnacentral:misc_RNA from 1 species
GAAAUGUUAGUACUGGAUUGAGCGAAGAAACUAUAUUAAACCGGCUAAAGCAGCGGAAAUAUUCUAUUGCAGUAAGGAGUGAGGUGGAGGCAGAACCUUGUUGCGUUUGUCAGGAGGAAUACAAUGAUGGAGAAGAUGUUGGAACACUGGACUGUGGGCAUGAUUUUCACACUGACUGUAUUAAACAAUGGCUGAUGCUCAAGAAUUGGUGCCCCAUUUGUAAAACAACAGGGCUUGGUACUUGAUAAGUUAUUUUGAUGAUUAGGCGAUUAGAUUAUGCUCAGAAUAUGAAGAAAGAAAGUUGGUGAUUGAACUCAUUAUCCUGGUGAGUGUCAUGUUUUGUCCAUUUGGACUAAAUCUAUGGCAUGACUCACCAGAGCAAGGCAUUUGUUUUUCAAAAGAAACAAAUUCCAUGGUGAUGAUUCAACUGUCUGUCGUAAGGAAAUAUUGGAGUGCAAAACUGGUUUUGAAUAUUUUAAUCUGUUGUCAUUGAACAAUUAGUUUCUGUGGGAUAUUCAUUGUGCCACCCUCCCUCCUUUUUAUUUUAUUUAUUUAGGUGCCAAUAUGUCUUUCUUUAUAUUCGGAGUUGCGACAUUUUGGGCAGGUCGAGCUCAUUUUAUUUUAUUUUUUAUUCGCCUGCCCAAAAUGUCGCAACUCCCAAUAU